UAACACGUAGGGAACCUGCCCGCGCACCGGGAAUACGCUCUGGAAACGGAGAACAAAUCCCGAUGUACAGGAAGGAGGCAUCUUCUUUCUGUGAAACAUCCUGUAAGGGAUGGGGCGCGGAUGGACCUGCGGUGCAUUAGUUGGUUGGCGAGGGUAAAGGCCCACCAAGACGAUGAUGCAUAGCCGGCCUGAGAGGGCGGACGGCCACNUUGGGACUGAGACACGGCCCAGACUCCUGCGGGAGGCAGCAGUAGGGAAUUUUCGUCAAUGGGCGCAAGCCUGAACGAGCGAUGCCGCGUGAGUGAAGAAGGCCUUCGGGUCGUAAAGCUCUGUUGCGGGGGAAAAAAGGCAACUACAGGAAAUGGUAGAUGACAGAUGGUGCCCCGCCAGAAAGUCACGGCUAACUACGUGCCAGCAGCCGCGGUAAUACGUAGGUGGCGAGCGUUAUCCGGAAUGAUUGGGCGUAAAGGGUGCGCAGGCGGUCCUGCAAGUCUGGAGUGAAACGUAUGAGCUCAACUCAUGCAUGGCUCUGGAAACUGGAGGACUGGAGAGCAGGAGAGGGCGGUGGAACUCCAUGUGUAGCGGUAAAAUGCGUANAUAUAUGGAAGAACACCAGUGGCGAAGGCGGCCGCCUGGCCUGUUGCUGACGCUGAGGCACGAAAGCGUGGGGAGCAAAUAGGAUUAGAUACCCUAGUAGU
rnacentral:rRNA from 1 species